AUAGUCAAGAUGGAGGCAUAGGUAGACAUGCUUCACCUCCUUACAUAACCACAGAAAGGAUUACAACUAUUUCUCAAAAUGAAUAACAACCAGAACCAUCAGAAAAUGGAGCUAUAUGGAAGUCUGACAACCAAGGAUUUAAAGAAGCCACAUUCAUCCAGACAGGAAGGAGGGGCAGAGU